UACGGAGGGGGCUAGCGUUGUUCGGAAUUACUGGGCGUAAAGCGCACGUGAGCGGAUCAGUCAGUUAGAGGUGAAAGCCCAGGGCUCAACCCUGGAACUGCCUUUAAUACUGCUGGUCUGGAGUCCGAGAGAGGUGAGUGGAAUUCCGAGUGUAGAGGUGAAAUUCGUAGAUAUUCGGAGGAACACCAGUGGCGAAGGCGGGUCUCUGGGCCGUAACUGACGCUGAGGAGCGAAAGCGUGGGGAGCGAACAGG
rnacentral:rRNA from 1 species